rnacentral:rRNA from 1 species
AUGGACACGGUAAGCUUUGGAAAACUGUCAUAUAUAGACAGCCAGUACAACAAUAACUCUCCAAACAGUUUCACCAGUUCUUCUACUGAUGCAUCAGUUUUCUUGAAAGGAAUCACUUCUGUUACUAGAGUAAUCAAAUUUGGUUAUAGAUGGAUCACUGGGGAUGGUGCCAAAGUAAGAUUCUAGGAGGAUACUUGGUUUGGCACAUCCCCACUAGUUGUUCAAUUCUGGGACUUGUAUCUAAUUUGUAAUGAGAAAAAUGUCUCAGUUUGUGUGGCUUGGGAUGGCUCGCUGAAACUAUCCUUUAGGAGAACUUUUAUUGUUGCUAUGAUGGAGAAAUGGUAUGAACUGCUAGAAAUAGCUGCUAGUAUCAACCUAUUGACGGUCGAAUCUGGCAGAUCUCGGGUAGGGGGGCCCGAGCUAGUGAUCUUGGCACGAUGGUAA